rnacentral:rRNA from 1 species
GACCGGACCCUUCGGGGUUAGUGCCGGACGGGUGAGUAACACGUGGGAACGUGCCCUUAGCUUCGGAACAACCCAGGGAAACUUGGGCUAAUACCGGAUAUGCCCUUCGGGGGAAAGAUUUAUCGGCUUUGGAACGGCCCGCGUCUGAUUAGCUAGUUGGUGGGGUAAUGGCCUACCAAGCCGACGAUCAGUAGCUGGUCUGAGAGAAUGACCAGCCACAUUGGGACUGAGACACGGCCCAAACUCCUACGGGAGGCAGCAGUGGGGAAUCUUGCGCAAUGGGCGAAAGCCUGACGCAGCCAUGCCGCGUGGAUGAUGAAGGUCUUAGGAUUGUCAAAUCCUUUCAGCGGGGACGAUAAUGACGGUAUCCGCAGAAGAAGCCCCGGCUAACUUCGUG